GACGAACGCUGGCGGCGUGCCUAAUACAUGCAAGUCGAACGCUUCUUUCCUCCCGAGUGCUUGCACUCAAUUGGAAAGAGGAGGGGCGGACGGGGGAGUAACACGUGGGUAACCUACCCAUCAGAGGGGGAUAACACUUGGAAACAGGUGCUAAUACCGCAUAACAGUUUAUGCCGCAUGGCAUAAGAGUGAAAGGCGCUUUCGGGUGUCGCUGAUGGAUGGACCCGCGGUGCAUUAGCUAGUUGGUGAGGUAACGGCUCACCAAGGCCACGAUGCAUAGCCGACCUGAGAGGGUGAUCGGCCACACUGGGACUGAGACACGGCCCAGACUCCUACGGGAGGCAGCAGUAGGGAAUCUUCGGCAAUGGACGAAAGCCUGCCCGAGCAACGCCGCGUGAGUGAAGAAGGUUUUCGGAUCGUAAAACUCUGUUGUUAGAGAAGAACAAGGACGUUAGUAACUGAACGUCCCCUGACGGUAUCUAACCAGAAAGCCACGGCUAACUACGUG
rnacentral:rRNA from 1 species